rnacentral:rRNA from 1 species
AGUGAACGCUGGCGGUAGGCCUAACACAUGCAAGUCGAACGGCAGCACAGAGGAGCUUGCUCCUUGGGUGGCGAGUGGCGGACGGGUGAGGAAUACAUCGGAAUCUACUCUGUCGUGGGGGAUAACGUAGGGAAACUUACGCUAAUACCGCAUACGACCUACGGGUGAAAGCAGGGGAUCUUCGGACCUUGCGCGAUUGAAUGAGCCGAUGUCGGAUUAGCUAGUUGGCGGGGUAAAGGCCCACCAAGGCGACGAUCCGUAGCUGGUCUGAGAGGAUGAUCAGCCACACUGGAACUGAGACACGGUCCAGACUCCUACGGGAGGCAGCAGUGGGGAAUAUUGGACAAUGGGCGCAAGCCUGAUCCGGCCAUACCGCGUGGGUGAAGAAGGCCUUCGGGUUGUAAAGCCCUUUUGUUGGGAAAGAAAUCCAUCUGGUUAAUACCCGGGUGGGGUGACGGUACCCAAAGAAUAAGCACCGGCUAACUUCGUGCCAGCCGCCGCAGUAA